rnacentral:misc_RNA from 1 species
AGAAGAAGAAGAAGAAGAAGAAAAGGAAUAGAGGGUUUACUCAUGAGAAAAAGCUAGCGUAUUUAAGUUGAAGUAAAAGGGUCAUCGAAGGAUCCUACACCUAAUCGGGGAAUCAAGCGUCUCGGUCCGAUCAUUUGCUAGAUCAAGCAAAUCCACUAGAAGAAUAAUUAAAAAAACUGCUAUUUGCCUACAAGGGUUUU